GACGAAGGGGGCUAGCGUUGUUCGGAAUUACUGGGCGUAAAGCGCGUGUAGGCGGUUGUCCAAGUCGGGUGUGAAAGCCUUGAGCUCAACUCAAGAAAUGCACUCAAUACUGGGCGACUAGAGUGCCGGAGAGGAUAGUGGAAUUCCCAGUGUAGUGGUGAAAUACGUAGAGAUUGGGAAGAACACCAGUGGCGAAGGCGGCUAUCUGGACGGUUACUGACGCUAAGACGCGAAAGCGUGGGGAGCAAACAGG
rnacentral:rRNA from 1 species